GACGGAGGAUGCAAGCGUUAUCCGGAAUGAUUGGGCGUAAAGCGUCUGCAGGUGGCAGUUCAAGUCUGCUGUCAAAGACCGGGGCUUAACUUCGGAAAGGCAGUGGAAACUGAACAGCUAGAGUAUGGUAGGGGCAGAGGGAAUUCCUGGUGUAGCGGUGAAAUGCGUAGAGAUCAGGAAGAACACCGGUGGCGAAGGCGGGUCUCUGGGCCGAUACUGACGCUGAGGAGCGAAAGCGUGGGGAGCGAACAGG
rnacentral:rRNA from 1 species